GGGAGGUUGGAACCAAAAAAACAAGAAAGCCAGCCAAGUGGAGAGAAGUACAUUUUCUACAGAUUGGAAGAAAAAGUUGGCACCAAUUCUUGUGUCCAUGGCCUUUUACUUCUGGCCUAGAGCUGGCAUUUAAUUUGAAUUUUACUAGCACACAAAAUCAAAUGCAGCAACCUGAUUUUCCCAAUUCAGGGUAUUUAAUUUAAAAAAGCUUACAAGUUGAAUAAGUGCCUUUUCAAAAUAUGGCAGAGCUUCUUCUCAUCAAGAUUAGUGAGAGACUGAGCCAAUCUACUAUCCCCACAGAAGAUUUUUGCUGCCAUGGCCACCGGAACCAUAGCAAUGUACAGAGAUCUCUUUGAGACCUACAUAUGCCUCAUAACCUCCUUGGACAGUCAGAUUUGUUACGAUGCCUGAAUUUAAAAUAUUUCAGCACAGAUAGUAUAAUAUAAUGUAUUUUAUAGUUAAUUUUUAACUCUCUGGUCAAUUGUUGCUUGACUCAGGACUUCACAGCCUGGAGUUCCCAUCGUGGCUCAAUGGUAAUUAAUCUGAUUAGUACCCAUGAGGAAGAGGGUUUGAUCCCUGGCCUCACUCAGUAGGUUAAGUAUCCAGUGUUGCCUUGAGCUGUGGUGUAGGUCACAGAUGCAGCUCAGAUCUGGUGUUGCUGUGGUUGUGGCAUAGGCUGGCAGCUGUAGCUUAGAUUUGAUCCCUAGCCCGGGAACUUGCAUGUGCAUUGGGUACAGCCCUAAAACAAAACAACAACAACAACAACAAAAAGAGAAUUCACAGCCUUAAAAUGAUUAGCUGACAUCAUAUCAAAAAGGACACAGUCCAGGGGUAGGUACUUUAAUGCUUCUGCUCUCUGACUUGGUCAAUAACCAGUGCUCUACUACUCAACAUAACAAAUGCCACAGGCUUUAAUAGUGAAAAAUGGUAGCUGUUGAUCAAUCUGAUAACUAGUAAAAAUGGCUCUCUUUGACUUGAAUUUUAAGUGACUCCAUAUCUGGCUGGAGGCCUGGUUUGGAAUGAGGCAAGCCAAGAGCCUAGGUUAAAAAAUUUAAGGAGAUUGGGAGGGAUCGGGAGUUUGGGUUUAUCAGACACAACUUAGAAUAGAUUUACAAGGAGAUCCUGCUGAAUAGCAUUGAGAACUUUGUCUAGAUACUCAUGUUGCAACAGAAAAAAGGAUGGGGGAUAAAAUGUAAUUGUAAUGUAUACAUGUAAAGAUAACCUGACCCCCUUGCUGUACAGUGGGAAAAUUAAAAAAAUU
rnacentral:lncRNA from 1 species